GACCUGCUGAAGCUCACACCCGUGGACCACCCAGACUGCCUGCCGCUACAGGAUGCCCUCCGCAUCUCCCAGGACUUCUUUCUGGCAUCAGUGUGGACAUUGACCCCGCUGGACUGCAGUCACAGUGGACUCCCAAGGGCAGGAUCCACCUCUGAUGUUCAGUGAAGACUACCAGAAAAGUCUGCUAGAGCAGUACCAUCUGGGUCUGGAUCAAAAACGCAGAAAAUACGUGGUUGGAGAGCUCAUCUGGAAUUUUGCCGAUUUCAUGACUAACCAGUGUCAGCCCAAGACUACCCCGUCGGUCAUUCUGUUCCUGCCGUCCUGUGAGGAGCCCCAAGCCAACAAGGCCACACUGGUGUGUCUCAUGAAUAACUUUAUCCGGGAAUCUUCAUGGUGACCUGGAAGGCAGAUGGUACCCCCAUCACCCAGAGCGUGGAGAAGACCACGCCCUCCAAACAGAGCAACAGCAAGUACGUGGCCAGCAGCUACCUGAGCCUGACGCCCGAGCAGUGGAGGUCCCGCAGAAGCUACAGCUGCCAGGUUAUGCAUGAAGGGAGCACCGUGGAGAAGUCAGUGGCCCCUGCAGAAUGUUCAUAGGUUCCCAGCCCCCACCCCACCCACAGGGGCCUGGAGCUGCAGGAUCCCAGGGGAGGGGUCUCUCUCUGCAUCCCAAGCCAUUCAGCCCUUCUCCCUGUACCUAGUAAACCCUCAAUAAAUAUCUUUGUCAGCCAGAAA
rnacentral:sRNA from 1 species